GCAGUCGAGCGAAUGGAUUAAGAGCUUGCUCUUAUGAAGUUAGCGGCGGACGGGUGAGUAACACGUGGGUAACCUGCCCAUAAGACUGGGAUAACUCCGGGAAACCGGGGCUAAUACCGGAUAACAUUUUGAACCGCAUGGUUCGAAAUUGAAAGGCGGCUUCGGCUGUCACUUAUGGAUGGACCCGCGUCGCAUUAGCUAGUUGGUGAGGUAACGGCUCACCAAGGCAACGAUGCGUAGCCGACCUGAGAGGGUGAUCGGCCACACUGGGACUGAGACACGGCCCAGACUCCUACGGGAGGCAGCAGUAGGGAAUCUUCCGCAAUGGACGAAAGUCUGACGGAGCAACGCCGCGUGAGUGAUGAAGGCUUUCGGGUCGUAAAACUCUGUUGUUAGGGAAGAACAAGUGCUAGUUGAAUAAGCUGGCACCUUGACGGUACCUAACCAGAAAGCCACGGCUAACUACGUGCCAGCAGCCGCGGUAAUACGUAGGUGGCAAGCGUUAUCCGGAAUUAUUGGGCGUAAAGCGCGCGCAGGUGGUUUCUUAAGUCUGAUGUGAAAGCCCACGGCUCAACCGUGGAGGGUCAUUGGAAACUGGGAGACUUGAGUGCAGAAGAGGAAAGUGGAAUUCCAUGUGUAGCGGUGAAAUGCGUAGAGAUAUGGAGGAACACCAGUGGCGAAGGCGACUUUCUGGUCUGUAACUGACACUGAGGCGCGAAAGCGUGGGGAG
rnacentral:rRNA from 1 species